AUUAAAGUUAAUUCAGAUAUCUAAAAUUUACUAUAAAAAUCAAAACAUUAUUAAAUUUAGUAAAGGUGAUUAAAAAUUAUUUUAUCUGUAGCUGUAAAGUACUGUAAAGGAAGGAAUUAUAAUUAUAAAAAAGAAAAAAUCAAAUUUUGUACCUUUUGCAUCAUGGUUUAGCUAGAUUUAUAUUGGAUAUAUCAAUUUCUCGAAAUUUAAUGAGCUAUUUUUAACCCCUGUAUUAGCACUAAGGAGUAAUUGUAGCAAAAAUUUUCUCAGAGUUAAGAAUAGAAAUGAAAUUUUAUCCGCAUUAAAUGAUAGCUAGUUCUUCUAAAAAGGCAUAGAAGUGCUUUGAAUUAGGAUUUUCUUAGUGAUAUAUUAUAUACUAAAUAAAAUUUAAUUCAACUAAAUUUUCAAGGAUAAGCUUGAAAAUACAAAUGACAAUCACAUACUUACUAAAAUUAAAUUUAAGCUUGAAAAUGGCUAAUAUUGUAGAUUUUGUUAUAAUUUCAUUACAAAAGUUAGAGAUAUAAUUAAUUUGUGUGCUAAAAAAGAAGGAAUCUCAAGAAUUAUUUGCGAGUUAUGCUUAUGCUAAAAUGAGUAUUUUUAACAAUUUAAUUUAACUACAACACUCGCAAUAAAACACUAGAAAUUAAAUUUAAUUUUAAAAAUAAAAUUAUAAAAAGGAAUUCGGCAAAAUAAAGUAUUCUGCCUGUUUAUUAAAAACAUGGCUCCUUGAAUUAAAACCUAAUGGGGAGUCGGACCUGCCCGGUGAAAUUUUUUAACGGCCGCGGUACUCUGACCGUGCAAAGGUAGCAUAAUCAUUUGUCUUAUAAUUGAAGGCUAGUAUGAAUGGUUUGACAAGAAUACUGCUGUCUCUUUAUAACUUAUUAGAAUUUUAUCCUAAGGUGUAGAAGCCUUAAUAAAAUUGAUAGACAAGAAGACCCUAUCGAGCUUUAAAAAAUUUAGUAGAUUUUUAUUUCAUAAAGUUAGUUAGCUAUUAAAAAUUUUGGUUGGGGCGACUAAGGAACAAACAAAGCUUCCUUUAAUAUUAAUAAACCCACAAGUCCUGAUCCAGAACUUUUGAUUAAAGAAAUUAGUUACCGUAGGGAUAACAGCAUUAUCUUUUUUGAGAGCUCUUAUCGAAAAAAAGGUUUGUGACCUCGAUGUUGGACCAGAAUAUCCUAAAGAUGCAGAAGUCUUUAAGGGUUGGUCUGUUCGACCAUUAAAAUUCUACGUGAUCUGAGUUUAGACCGGCGUGAGCCAGGUCAGUUUCUAUCUUCAAUUCAUUAAAGUAAAUUUAGUACGAAAGGACCUGUUUAUUAUAAUAAAAUAUUAUCUUCAGAAAAAAUAUAAUAUAAAAUUUAAAUUCGUAUACAAAC
rnacentral:rRNA from 1 species